AGAAAUAACUGGGGGCAUGGAGAAUGCGGUGGCUGUAAAGGGCCGCUGAGGCGGUGGAGGCCUGGCAGAGAGCGUCCCCGCGGUCGCGGCUUCUGGCUUCUCUGUGGAGCUUGGUUCUUCCGUGGUGGUGCAGCACCCCAGGAACUUCAGGAACCAGUCCUUCCUUGGAGAGCUCCCCGGGACAGCCACGGGGGCCAAGUGAAACUAGCGCGUUUUCUUGGAUCCUACACUUUAUAGUGAGUCAUAAAUACUUUAAAUACAAAGCCAACAACAUUUGCUGCAAAUAAACGUAAAAAUACUGUUAAAGUGUAAAGUGUUUUCCUCCGUACCAUCUGACGUUUCUGGCGGUUCGUUGAACGCGAGAGAACGCUGAGCCGUCUGCACUGAGCCCGGGAGCAUCUUCAGGGCAGCGCCGCCCACGCGCGAGGUGAAUGAAGGACACGGCCUCUUGACACUCCCAGGCAGCACAGAUAGACGGAUCCGUUGCUAGAAAGAAGCAUGCACAUCCUGGCCUGGCCCUUGUUCCUUGUUUUUGUCUCUUUUUCCGAAUCAUCCCUAAAGAAGUUGG
rnacentral:lncRNA from 10 species